AACGAACGCUGGCGGCAUGCCUAACACAUGCAAGUCGAACGAGACCUUCGGGUCUAGUGGCGCACGGGUGCGUAACGCGUUGGAACCUUCCCUUAGGUUCGGAAUAACUCCCCGAAAGGGGUGCUAAUACCGGAUAAUGUCUUCGGACCAAAGAUUUAUCGCCUUUGGAUGGGCCCGCGUUGGAUUAGCUAGUUGGUAGGGUAAAAGCCUACCAAGGCGACGAUCCAUAGCUGGUCUGAGAGGAUGAUCAGCCACACUGGGACUGAGACACGGCCCAGACUACUACGGGAGGCAGCAGUGGGGAAUAUUGGACAAUGGGCGAAAGCCUGAUCAAGCAAUGCCGGGUGAGUGAUGAAGGCCUUAGGGUUGUAAAGCUCUUUUACCCGGGAUGAUAAUGACAGUACCGGGAGAAUAAGCUCCGGCUAACUCCGUG
rnacentral:rRNA from 1 species